GACGAACGCUGGCGGCGUGCUUAACACAUGCAAGUCGAGCGGAAAGGCCACUUCGGUGGUACUCGAGCGGCGAACGGGUGAGUAACACGUGAGUAAUCUGCCCCUGGCUUUGGGAUAGCCACCGGAAACGGUGAUUAAUACCGGAUAUGACCACUUCACGCAUGUGAUGGUGGUGGAAAGUUUUUCGGCCAGGGAUGUGCUCGCGGCCUAUCAGCUUGAUGGUGGGGUAAUGGCUCACCAUGGCUUCGACGGGUAGCCGGCCUGAGAGGGUGACCGGUCACACUGGGACUGAGACACGGCCCAGACUCCUACGGGAGGCAGCAGUGGGGAAUAUUGGACAAUGGGCGGAAGCCUGAUCCAGCAACGCCGCGUGAGGGAUGACGGCCUUCGGGUUGUAAACCUCUUUCGCCUGUGACGAAGCGCAAGUGACGGUAACAGGUAAAGAAGCACCGGCCAACUACGUGCCAGCCGCCGCAGUAAAAC
rnacentral:rRNA from 1 species